GUGUCCAUACCUACUUGCACGCACAAACGUGCACAUAGCUUGUCUACUCGUGAAUUUAAGUUCCGUCGCUGUGGCUCCAUUGCUGAGCGCUGAUGCAAUAAAACCAAACACACUUAAUGCCAUGAUUCAGCUUAUUGAGAUAAGUGAUUUCUUGAAAAUUUACUAUUUGUUGAUGAAAUAAGCAUGGCACGCAUUCUAUUAUUAUAAACCUUUGUGUGGCAAAUAACAAAUACAGACUCAUCCUAAUUAUCACUCCAGCGUUUCAAGUAGUGGCUCUAAGAAAUAAUAGCAAGCAAACAUGAUAACUUUGGCUUUCAUUAUAUAAAUAUGCUUAAUAGCCCACGUACGAUGUUAUCAAUAUCGAUCAGCUUAUAGUUAAGGGCGAUAAAAGAACAACUAUUCAAGAUAGUAAAAAAACCGUUAAGUCAAAACGUAACUAAUUGAAAUCCAAUAAUUAUAAUGGUCAAGUAAUUGUUGACGACUAACGUUUAUGUAUUUGCGGCAUCAAUCGCAAAAUAAAUAACUAAUUCACUUUGGGGUCAUUCGAGCUGCAAUAAUGUUUUGAUGACGUGAAAUUAUAUUCAGAUUAGAAUUUAAUAGCGUUAAUUUACUAUUUGUUGUUUUGCACAACACAACAUUUUAACAUAAGGUCGGCAGGGCUGAUAUAAAAUUAAUAUAGCAUGCUUACUGUUAUCAAAAUAGUUGGAAGAUGGCUGUUAUUGGAAAUGGAAAUUUUACCGGCUUAAUUAUGCACAGGUACAAACUUCUAAAUUUAAUAACUCCGCUUAACACAUACGAACGUACAUACAUACAUGAUUUAUGGCAGAGCGUUGUUAGUCACAAACGAUCAAAAGUGUCUGGAAAUUGUAUUAUAUGCUUCAAGUAUCCAUCAAUCUAUAUACAAGUGUACGCCAGUGUCGAAUCAUUUCUAGUAUCGAGUGCAAAUGGUGGUAUUUAGUAUUGGUUUUGCUGAUAAGCACACAUAGUACGUACAUACAUACAUAUUUACAUAUUUGCGCACUUGUAGAACGGUCUUUAUUGCAAACAAAAUGUGUUUCCUAGCAUUAUUGAGAUAAAAAAUUGGUUGCAAAAGUAUAUAAAGCUUUGGUUUCUACUUACAAACACCUAGACAUACAUAUGCGAGUAUGCAAGAACGUUCAUGAAAAUGUUGAUAAGAUAUGAGUAAUACAACAGUACUGUAAAUACCACAUUUUCUAAAACACAUAUUCUUUUUUUGAUAUCUUGGGGAAAAAAUUUAAUUUACGUUUUUUUUCAAUAACAUUUGCUCUAAGAAAGUAAAUUUUGUUUUCAAACCAAACAACAUUUUUCCACUUUAAAUAUUGCAUACUUUUAGGCGAUUUAUUAAUGAGUUUGUGAUUGACCAAAGAGAGCACAACUCCAAAAAUACUUUUUAUAGAGUGAAAACAAAUAAAGGAAACCUUUUUAAUAUAUAAGAAAAUCUACAAUUUUAUACCCUGAACACUAUACCCUCUGUGCCAUGAAUUUUGUAACACUUAGAAAAAUCGUCGGAGAUCCUAUAAUCAGCAUGACGAGCUGUUUUCAACAUAGCGAUCUCACGUCCUUUUCUCUACAAGAAGCUGAUGGAACGAUAUCAGAUCACUAUAGCAUAUAGCAGCUACACGAACUGAACAAUCAAAUAAUGUACAUGCACGAACGAAGGUUUCUUAUUGUUGUAGCGGCAAAAAAUAUUCCUGAAUGGCCGCUUUAAAAUCUGGUGGCGUUCCGGUUACUUAAACUCGACUGCCGUGGGAAGGGUAUUAUAGCUUUGGUGCAAGACGACGGAUCGUUUUUUUUUUUGAAUUUAUUGCAAACCUAUAAACGAAAAAAAACUGACACAGCACAUCUCCGGACUUUUAAGUAAAGCAAAUUGUCAUCACAAACAUUUUCUAAAGCAGCAACUGAUUUUUGAUUCUAAAAAUUAGAUUGUAAGUGGGGAAUACAUUUUAAGGAUGUUAAUACAACUCGAAGUUAUUAAUCAAUUCACUUGAACACUAUUAUAUCAAGCAUUAUUGAUUUUUGUAUUAUGCACAAAUAUGUGUAUUGGUUCAUUAUACGCCCAACACACCAUUGUUAUUUGUAUAAGGAUGUUUGGCACAGCACUAUCAUAAAAUAGCCGGUAUGACACGCAAUUGCACUAUCAUCAUACCGCACCACAUUUGCAGUGGUAUCAUUGAAACCAAUAUAUAUUAAAUUUUUUCAAUUCUUUAUUCUCCUUCACGCACAAUUACUGCAGUUUUUCAGUGACUAUUAUCAUUCUAUUUUUGUAAAAAAUAAUAUAAACACUUUGCUUUUGCCAGCUGCAAUAGCUUAAAUACACUUUUAAUAGUGUAACGACCCUGUGUCCCGCUUAGAAGAAGAAUCCAAGAAUUUUACCUCCCAAAUGUUUUCGUCUGGCCUCUUCAUGAUCCAUGAUACCGCCGGAUGUAGUCAACACAACAUA